CCACCUCAAUACAGUCUGAUAACAGAUGAGCCUUUAUUAGUCAAAUCAGGCAAGCAGUUUUUCAGGCUCUUAGUAUUCAGUGAAACCUUUAUAUCCCUUACGGUCCUCCAUCUUCAAGAAAAGUAGAAUGGACUAAAGGUCUUUUAAAUACACACCUCACCAAGUUCACCAACUUAAAAAGGACUGGACAAUACUUUUACUACAUUUCCUUCUCAGAAUUCAGGCCUGUCCUCGGAAUGCUACAGGAUCCCAUUUGUCAAUUUUGGCUUUUGUUGCAGUUGCUUUAAUAGAUGCUGGUGAGGGUG
rnacentral:lncRNA from 1 species